UAGUGGCGCACGGGUGCGUAACACGUAACUAACCUACCUAUAACUGGGGGAUAGCCCGCCGAAAGGCGGAUUAAUACCGCAUAAGCUACUGAAGUGGCAUCACUUUAAUAGUAAAGAUUUAUUGGUUAUAGAUGGGGUUGCGGGUCAUUAGCUAGUUGGUAAGGUAACGGCUUACCAAGGCGACGAUGACUAGGGGAGCUGAGAGGCUGGUCCCCCACACGGGCACUGAGAUACGGGCCCGACUCCUACGGGAGGCAGCAGUAGGGAAUAUUGGGCAAUGGGCGAGAGCCUGACCCAGCCAUGCCGCGUGCAGGAAGAAGGCUUUCUGAGUCGUAAACUGCUUUUGACAGGGAAGAAUAAGCACUACGUGUAGUGCGAUGACGGUACCUGCAGAAUAAGCACCGGCUAACUCCGUGCCAGCAGCCGCGGUAAUACGGAGGGUGCGAGCGUUGUCCGGAUUUAUUGGGUUUAAAGGGUGCGUAGGCGGCCGUUUAAGUCUGGGGUGAAAGCCCGCUGCUCAACAGCGGAACUGCCCUGGAUACUGGAUGGCUUGAGUACAGACGAGGUUGGCGGAAUGGACUGAGUAGCGGUGAAAUGCAUAGAUACAGUCCAGAACCCCGAUUGCGAAG
rnacentral:rRNA from 1 species